UACUUGCUGUUGGGCAGAGUGAUCAUGGAAAAUGGGGCAGUUGUUUUAUAGUCCUGUCUGGAUGGGGAAACCUUGGAGGAAGACUGUUUCACCCAAGGUCACUCAAGACAUGAAAAAUAUAUUCUGCCUCUAAAAAUAAACAAGAUAGAUCCAUAUGGCUGGUCUAGGGGAUGAAGCAGGAGUAAAUGAGGCCUCUGGGGCUGAGGACUUGCUUUCAAAUUGAACAGAGAUCACAAUGUAGUGGUCACACAGAGAUGUUUUUCUGAAGCUUUUCUUGUUUCUCCACAGUGCCCAGGAGUGGGACCAGUCACAGUGGAAACCACAAGGGAGAUUUGUGUAGAUCGGAUGGGAAAUCACUGGAGGCCCUCAGGACUGGUCAGCAGGAUCUUUGCUGCAGCCAGGAAUAGAGUUUCCCUGUAAGUUGUUUGGCGAAAGUGUGUGGGGCAGGUUUGUCUCAGUGCCUUACCCAUCCUUCUGCAGUCUGGUCUUCACCUCUAAAAUGUGAGUGAUCAUUGUAAAGUUACCUAAAGUUACCUAAAAUGAGGUAACCCAGGCUUGAGUGUUGU
rnacentral:lncRNA from 1 species